AUGCAGAACCUGUGCAAAUUUGGUGUGUACCUCAGUUACUCUUUAAUCUCAAAGGCCAAUAUAGUUUAUAAAAAGACACAGAUUGAGCCCAUUGAUGGGUACUGUGUCCAACAGCUGAAGGAAUUUGAGGGGAAGACUUUAGUGUCAGUCACCAAAGAGGGCUUGGAACUUCCAGAGGAUGAAGAAGAGAAAAAGAAACAGGAAGAGAAAAAAACAAAGUUUGAGAACCUCUUCAAAAUCAUAAAAGACAUAUUGGAGAAAAAAGUUGAAAAGGUUGUGUCAAACCGAUCAGUGACGUCUCCAUGCUGUAUUGUCACAAGCACAUAUGGCUGGACAGCAAACAUGGGAGAAUCAUGAAAGCUCAAGCCCUAAGACACAACUCAACCAUGGGCUACAUGGCAGCAAAGAAAUACCUGGGGAUAAACCCUGACCAUUCCAUUAUCGAGACCUUAAGGCAAAAGGCAGAUGCUGAUAAGAACGACAAGUCUGUGAAAAAUCUGGUCAUCUUGCUUUAUGAAACUGCGCUCCUGUCUUCUGGCUUCAGCCUGAAAGAUCCCCAGACACAUACUAACAGAACCUACAGGAUGAUCAAACUUGGUCUAGGUAUUGAUGAAGAUGACCCUACUGCUGAUGACACCAGUGCAGCUGGAAGUGAAGAAAUGCCACCCCUCGAAGGAGAUGAUGACACAUCACGCAUGCAAGAAAUACACUAAGCUCCAGCUGAGGGAUGACUUACCUGUUCAAUACUCUACAGUUCCUCUAAUAAUAUAUUUUCAAGGAUGUUUUUCUUUAUUUUUAUUAACAUUAAAAAGUCUGUAUGGCAUGACAACAACUACUUUAAGGGGAAGAUAAAGAUUUCGGUUGACUUCUAAGCGAUGCUGUGAUACUUUAGGCAGUAAAGCAGAGCUAGUAAUGCUUUUUUAGUUUCACAUUGGCUUACAUGAACAGAUCGAGGUAAUGUGUGUUGUAAGAUGUAUGUAACAUGUUACCUUUGUGGUCUAAAGUGUUUAGUUCUCAAGCCAGAUUCCUUAGUAGACCAAAUCUUGUUAUCGAAGGCUUCCCAAGCUAUACCUUGAUGUUUAGAAGAAAAGUAUUUGUUAUAUCUUGUAGGGUCUACUUUCUGAACUUUUCAUCCCCUGUAGUUGCCAAUUCUGCAUGUACUAGUCCUCUAGAAAUAGGUUAAACUGAAGCAACUUGAUGGAACUCUCCACAGGGCUUGUUUUCCAAAAAAAGGUAUUGUUUGGAGGAGCAGUUAUUAGCCUACCUAA